rnacentral:rRNA from 1 species
GACGAACGCUGGCGGCGUGCCUAAUACAUGCCAGUUGAGCGCUGAAGGUUGGUACUUGUACCGACUGGAUGAGCAGCGAACGGGUGAGUAACGCGUGGGGAAUCUGCCUUUGAGCGGGGGACAACAUUUGGAAACGAAUGCUAAUACCGCAUAAAAACUUUAAACACAGGUUUUAAGUUUGAAAUAUGCAAUUGCAUCACUCAAAGAUGAUCCCGCGUUGUAUUAGCUAGUUGGUGAGGUAAAGGCUCACCAAGGCGAUGAUACAUAGCCGACCUGAGAGGGUGGUCGGCCACAUUGGGACUGUGACACGGCCCAAACUCCUUCGGGAGGCAGCAGUAGGGAAUCUUCGGCCAUGGGCGAAAGUCUGACCGCGCAACGCCGCGGGCGUGAAGAAGGUUUUCGGAUCGUAAAACUCUGUUGGUAGGGAAGAACGUGGGUGAGAGUGGAAAGCUCAUCAAGUGACGGUAACUACCCAGAAAGGGACGGCUAACUACGUG